UUUUAUUCGAGUUAUUCCCAUUUGUUUCGAGAUAUGGUCGAGUUGUGUUGUUUUUCCCCUUUCUUCCCCGCUUCUUUAAUCUUCCCCUAGUUGCGAUCAACCGUGUUUUCUAUCCUUAGAAAAUGCGAGUGUGACAAGAUGGAAGCCUCCCUAGGCUUAAGUUCAUAAGCCUACGAUAUUGCUACAAAUUAAAACAUCUCGAUUGGUUGUGUGGUAACUCAGAGGAAACACCUGUGAUUGAAUUAGUCGAGGCGAGGUUUUUCUCCAAGAUGCACUCGUGUAGUGUUCGUUUGGACGAGUUCACGUUUUUUAUUGUUUUUAGCAGCAUUGCUGGACUGUCUUCCCUCGAGCAGCUUGCCGAUGAAGCAUUUGAAGCAGCUGAUCAUGAUGUUCCAGGAGAGUACGUAGAAUCUGUUGAGCCUUCGAGUGCUUAGACUCAGAUGCCGGACGAGUAAUUGGCCGGUUCCAUGUGGGAUGCAUAGGCGAAUCGUGACGUAUGAGGAAGGCUACCCGGGUUUCGGAAUAUCCAACAUCCGUCCAUCUAAGAGCGAUGCGUAGCUUUAGAAGAUCAAUGUUUUUGUGAAUCUUAUGGCAAAUGAGAGAGCAGAAGGGGUUAGAAUGUUAAUUUGUUCAAAUGGAGUGUCUUGCAAUCCAUUGAGUGGCUUGGAUAAUAUCUCAAAACUCCAAAGUUUGGACUCAAUUGCACAUUUUGGAUAAUAUUAUCCCUUGCAUAAAGUUUUGCUGAAAUUGGAGGACACCGGCUACAGCAAGAUAAGGAUGGAGUGGUUUGGAUGAACGAAUCAAAGAGGUCAUACGGGAAUUCGAAGAUCUACUAGAAUCCCAUUUCACCCAUCAGAUUCUUCCACAACUCGAAAGCGAGAGAGAUCACUUGAAUUAAAUGGUUAGUGUGUGCAUGAGAAAUUUUAAUGCAAAGAAAGAAGAAGAUUAUAGUCAUUCUCCUUUUUUUUGCACUGAUUAAGAAAAUUUAUGUCACAUAUUUGAAAAGGUCAAAUA